rnacentral:rRNA from 1 species
GACGAACGCUGGCGGCGUGCUUAACACAUGCAAGUCGAACGGUAAGGCCCUUCGGGGUACACGAGUGGCGAACGGGUGAGUAACACGUGGGGGAUCUGCCCUGAACUUCGGGAUAAGCCUGGGAAAAUGGGUCUAAUACCGGAUAGGACUCCUGGCUUCAUGGUUGGGGGUUGACAGCUUUUGCGGUGUGGGAUGGGCCGGCGGCCUAUCAGCUUGUGGGUGGGGUAAUUGCCUACCAAGGCGACGACGGGUAGCCGGCCUGCGAGGGUGACCGGUCACACUGGGACUGAGAUACGGCCCAGACUCCUACGGGAGGCAGCAGUGGGGAAUAUUGCAAAAUGGGCGCAAGCCUGAUGCAGCGACGCCGCGUGAGGGAUGACGGCCUUCGGGUUGUAAACCUCUUUCAGCUAUGACGAAGCGCAAGUGACGGUAGUAGCAGAAGAAGGACCGGCCAACUACGUGCCAGCCGCCGCCGUAA